CCGUGGCGGACGGGUGAGUAACGCGUGGGUAACCUGCCUUGCACUGGGGGAUAACACUUAGAAAUAGGUGCUAAUACCGCAUAAGCGCACGGUCCUGCAUGGGACAGUGUGAAAAACUCCGGUGGUGCAAGAUGGACCCGCGUCUGAUUAGCUGGUUGGCGGGGUAAAGGCCCACCAAGGCGACGAUCAGUAGCCGGCCUGAGAGGGUGGACGGCCACAUUGGGACUGAGACACGGCCCAAACUCCUACGGGAGGCAGCAG
rnacentral:rRNA from 1 species